rnacentral:rRNA from 1 species
CGGUAAACAAAGGGAAGCGAACACGCGAGUGGGAGCGAAUCCCAAAAAUAACGUCCCAGUUCGGAUUGUAGUCUGCAACCCGGCUACAUGAAGCUGGAAUCGCUAGUAAUCGCGGAUCAGAAUGCCGCGGUGAAUACGUUCCCGGGUCUUGUACACACCGCCCGUCACACCAUGGGAGCCGGAAAUGCCCGAAGUCAGUGACCCAACCGCAAGGAGGGAGCUGCCGAAGGUGGAGCUGGUAACUGGGGUGAAGUCGUAACAAGGUAUC